UACAGAGGGUGCGAGCGUUGUCCGGAAUCACUGGGCGUAAAGGGCGCGUAGGUGGCGCGACAAGUCAAUGGUGAAAGUUCGACGCUCAACGUCGAAUCGGCCAUCGAUACUGUUGGGCUUGAGCACUGUAGAGGCUAAUGGAAUUCCGGGUGUAGCGGUGGAAUGCGUAGAGAUCCGGAAGAACACCGGUGGCGAAGGCGGUUAGCUGGGCAGUUGCUGACACUGAGGCGCGACAGCGUGGGGAGCAAACAGG
rnacentral:rRNA from 1 species